AAGACCUAUGAAAUUAUUGAAAUAGACUUGGCAUCGAAUGUAGAGCAACAGAUUACAAUGACACUAUAAUAUUAUUUGUUUCAAGGGAUAAAACUGAAUGGUGUAUGUCACUGAUGUGGUCGUAUUUUUUAUUGUGUGCCUUUCUCUGUCACUGGUAAUUGGAUUUUGGUUUUUAAGAAGGAAAAAAGAUCAUUCAUUGGACAGGCAACAACUAUCAGUGGCGAUGAAAAAUGAAAGAAUGAAGAAAACAAGAUUCAAUCAGCAACUUGACAUGUUUUUUCUCUCGAGGAAGUGGAGGGAAUCAAGAGAAGCGCCAGUUGAACAAUCAUCGUCACAUAUAAUUAGAAUAUCAUAGGAGUCACCGGAUUUAAACUCAUAU